rnacentral:lncRNA from 1 species
GCCUGGGCAGAGUCCAAUAGAGGGUUUGUCAGCGAGCUUUAUGGCCUCUGGGGCAGCCCCAAACCCUGGAAUAGGAUUAGGAUUCAAUUCACCAAGAAGCUCAAGAAAAAGAACCAAACUUAACAAAGUGGACGGGAGAAAGAAAAAGGUGGUCUUGGACGUUGAUAGCACAGCAAAGUAUGAGGACAACCAAACCAGGGGCCCCACCUGGCGAGCACGAAUUUAAGAAUAUAAAAGUUGGGGGAAAGAAGGGAAUGAAAGCAAGUUGAGCAAAAAUAAAUAAAUAAAUAAAUGAAAGGAAAA